AUUGAACGCGGGCGGCGUGCCUAACACAUGCAAGUCGAGCGGUAACAGGUGUAGCAAUACAUGCUGACGAGCGGCGAACGGGUGAGUAAUGCUUCGGAAUCUACCUUAUGGUGGGGAAUAACUAGCCGAAAGGUUAGCUAAUACCGCAUACGUCCUACGGGAGAAAGCAGGGGAUCGCAAGACCUUGCGCCAAAAGAUGAGCCGAAGUCGGAUUAGCUAGUUGGGAGGGUAACGGCCUACCAAGGCGACGAUCCGUAGCUGGUCUGAGAGGACGACCAGCCACACUGGGACUGAGACACGGCCCAGACUCCUACGGGAGGCAGCAGUGGGGAAUAUUGGACAAUGGGGGAAACCCUGAUCCAGCGACGCCGCGUGUGUGAAGAAGGCCUGCGGGUUGUAAAGCACUUUUAGUGGGGAUGAAAUGUGCAGGGUUAAUACCUCUGCAUUUUGACCUAACCCACAGAAAAAGCACCGGCUAACUCUGUGCCAGCCGCCGCAGUAA
rnacentral:rRNA from 1 species